rnacentral:pre_miRNA from 1 species
ACAUAAAUCACCUGGAGAUCUUGUUAAGAUGCCAAUUCUGAUUCAGUAGGUCUGACGCAGGGUCUGAAAUUCUGCAGUUCUAACAAGCGCUCAGGUGAUGCCAAU